GCCGGGCGUGGUGUGUAUGCCUGUAAUCCCAGCAGCUUGGGAGGCUGAGACAGGAGGAUUGCAAGUUCAAAGCCAGCCUCAGCAAUGGCAAGGAGCUAAACAACUCAGUGAGACCCUGUCUCUA
rnacentral:sRNA from 1 species